GGAGAGGUGACCGAGUGGUUGAAGGUGCUCGCCUGGAAAGUGAGUGUGCCCCCACAGGGGUACCGCGGGUUCGAAUCCCGCCCUCUCCGCCA
rnacentral:tRNA from 1 species